UACGCUGGCGGCACGCCUAAUACAUGCAAGUCGAACGAAGUAGCAAUACUUAGUGGCAGACGGGUGAGUAACAUGUAGGUAUCUGCCCUUUGGCCUGGAAUAACACGAGGAAACUUGUGCUAAUACCGGAUAAGUCUUUACGGAGAAAGCUUUAUGCACCAUUGGAUGAGCCUGCACUUGAUUAGUUUGUUGGUGGGGUAAUGGCCUACCAAGACUGUGAUCAAUAGCUGAUUUGAGAGGAUGAUCAGCCACAUUGGGACUGAGACACGGCCCAAACUCCUACGGGAGGCAGCAGUGGGGAAUCUUGCACAAUGGAGGAAACUCUGAUGCAGCGAUGCCGCGUGAGUGAAGAAGGCCCUUGGGUUGUAAAGCUCUUUCGUCGGGGAAGAAAAUGACUGUACCCGAAUAAGA
rnacentral:rRNA from 1 species